rnacentral:misc_RNA from 1 species
AGAUAUCAUUCUUCUUGAGGUUCUGCUAGCCAUCUUCUUUACACUUUACUCAAUGGCUAAUUUCAACGUAACAUCUUUUGCUCAACUUAGAUAAACUAUGAUCAUAACCUUCUCUCUAAUCUGUUACUAUUAACUUAUAUACACUGACAGUGCACGUAAAAGAAUUUUUACAUUAUUAUUCGUAGUAGUACCAAUGAGUCCUUCAUCCGAAUAGACGACCAGGCUGCUAACAUUGUGUCAUGGAGAUGAGAUCUUUUUCUUUUAUCAGUUUUGAGCAUAGAAUCUCAAAUCACCCUGCUUCUCUUCAUCUUGUUUUCCACUACUUCUUUGUUCAAACUCAAUGUACUUGUACCACUUAGCACAAAUGAGGUAGACCACAAAAUCAGCUAUUGUCAAUGCUGCUAAGAGGAAGUAAAAUCUAUCCAAAUGGCCUUUGUUGAGGUUUCCUGGUAUCCAUCCAGGCAUUUUAUCGUUAGUCGAAAUUUUAAUAACAAUGGAAACAAGCAAACUGCUGACAUAGUUCCCUAGUGAAAUUGAAGUCAUGCAAAGUGCACUUCCAAAGCUUUUCAAUCCAUCAGGUGCUUGUCCAUUGAAAAACUCCAAUUGUCCAACAUACAUGAAAACCUCUGAUGCUCCAAUUAGUACAUAUUGUGGGACUUGCCAGAAAAUACUUAAAGAACUCGAAUUUGUGCAAUGUGAACAAUCUUUGUUGGCAUGUUUUAACCUGAAAUGUUCUACUAUUCCAGCUGCUACCAUUGCCAUUAUAGCAAUUAUGAGGCCAACUCCCAUACGUUGGAGCUCGGUCAGUCCUCUUGGAGAUGUCUUCUUUAGGCUUGCAACGAGGGGGUCAAGAACUCGCCUGUAGAUGAAAAUGAAUACUGCAACACUAAGGAUAUCAAAGCUUGACAUGCUUGCAGGAGGGAUGUGAAAGCCUGAGACCGUGGUUUUCAUGGCAUCGCCUUGUUCCACGAAUAAAGAGGCCAUUUGAGUGAACACAACAGAGUAGAGUAUUGUACAAAGCCAAAUUGGAAAUAGUCUUAGGAUGCAUUUCACUUCUUCAACUUGAGUCACUGAACAAAGGCGCCAAGGAUUAUCUAAUCUCUCCUUUGAUGUAAUUAUAGCUGCUUUAUCCAAAAAACUAAACUCUUCGGUAUGCAGUAUGUUUCGACUGCUAUUAUCUGCAAGCUCUCUUCCAUCACCUUCAUAUAACUCAUCUCCGUUUGAAGGUUUCUCCAUGUUCCAUUUCCUAAUUGCCGCUACAACCACUUGACAAAAUCUUGAAAUGGGGUUCCUGGUUGGCCUGAAGUGUCUGUACCAAGGUGUCCCAAUAAGAAACAGAACUAAUGCCAAAAUAGCUGAUCCAGCUGAUGCUGAAAAACCCAAUGUCCACAUUCCCUUAUCCUCAAAAUAGACCAAAAUGGUGUUUGAAAACAGAGAUCCAAGAUUCAAUGCUAAGUAGAAAUAGCUAAAGAAAGAUAAUUUUGAGUGACUUUCUUGAGGAUGAUCUUCAUCAAAUUGAUCUGAUCCAAAUGUUGCAAUGGUAGGUUGAUACCCUCCAUUUCCAAGAGCAAUUAAGUAAAUGGACACAUUGAAGAGCAUAGUAUGAAGACUUGAAUGUGAUCCACAAGGGGCUUCUUCAUCUCCACAGCCAUUAGGCUUGAUCAAGAAAAUGUAUGAACAUAAUGAUAAUAACACUAGUCCCGCGACAAAAAUGGCUUGGAAGAUGGCACAAGUCUUGUAUCUACCCCAAUAGGAAUCACUUAAGAAAGCACCCAAAAGUGAGAAGAUGUAAACAGUUCCAGUCCAUUUGCUAACAUUGUUAGCUGCUUCAGCAUUAUCUUGCCCCAUAACUCUUGUAAGAAAUAGGACUAGAUUCACUCCAACUCCAAAAAAUGCUAGUGUAGCUAAACCUUGAUUCACAAGUAAUAGAACACCAGCAAACCAUUUUCCAGUCGUGGCACGCACAGCAGGGCAGCCAUGCUGAUCUACAGUUCCAUCAAGGGUGAAUUCUUCAUGUGGCAUAUUACCUAACUUGACUUCCAUUUUGCCAAUGUUUAAGCACUCCAUUGUUUGUUUUGUGUUAUAGACCACAAAGUUUGCUAGCUGAACUUCAGUUGGAAGAGAAACUAUUUGUUUUCUAAUCAUAGGAAGUAAAG